rnacentral:rRNA from 1 species
GACAGAGGGUGCAAACGUUGUUCGGAAUUACUGGGCGUAAAGCGCGUGUAGGCGGCUAAGUAAGUCGGGCGUGAAAUCCCACGGCUCAACCGUGGAAGUGCACUCGAAACUGCAUAGCUAGAGUCCUGGAGAGGAAGGUGGAAUGCUUGGUGUAGAGGUGAAAUUCGUAGAUAUCAAGCGGAACACCGGUGGCGAAGGCGGCCUUCUGGACAGCGACUGACGCUGAGACGCGAAAGCGUGGGGAGCAAACAGG